rnacentral:lncRNA from 1 species
CUCUUUCUGAUUGAGUGUAAGCUGCUAUAUGAAAGGAUCCACAAGAUGAAUAAUUAAAGGGGACCUCUGAUCAACAGCCAGCAAGGAACUGAAUCCCUCAGACCCACAACUCACAAGAAACUGAAGUUGAAGCAGAUUCUACCUCAGUCAAGCUUCAGGUGCCCAGCUGGAUUGGUAGAGGAGACCAACCACACCCUCUGCAGCACAGCACCUGGAGAGGAACUGCUGCCAUGACCAUAGAGGACACCCUCUGGAUACAAUGCCAGACUUGAUGUGGGACUGACCAACCUAUGGACCCCAGGCACCACCACCCAGACCUGCUCAGCACCUGAAACUUUUCUAUCUCCUCUUCACUCUUGAUGUAGACAUAUCUUCAAGUCAUCUUCUCCAGGCGACACGAGCCUUAAGAGCAUCUUUGUACCCAUCAGGAACGAGUACACAGAGGCUGUGCAACCCUGGAGGCUGCAACCUUUUAUGAAAAAUAAGCUCUCCAUUCCAAAUUUACAAACCUCAUCAUUCUUCAGUUGACAACACUGAGGCUGCUACCUCCCCUGUGGCUGGGAGCAAGAUGAGCCCCAGAUGUGUUUCCAAGUGAGUCUGAUUGGGACAGGAGCCGACGUGGGACUUGGAGGCUGGAGAUGGGAGCAGCAUUCACAGCCAUGGAGAGAGAACUGUUCACUGCUACCAUCCACACUUCCGGGCCCCUUCAGCAGCAGGGUGACAAGGAAGAGGGAAAUCGACUUGGAAAAGAGGGGACCUCUGACCCAAGAGUUUGGUCAAUGCAUAUGUUGGCAGCCAACUGCACAUAGCACCAAAUACGAACUUCAAAUAGAAGAAAGCCGCAUUUGGAAGAAAGCUCAUGCACAGACUGUAAAUAUUUCAGAGCAGAUUGUGUCUCUGUAGAUUAAGGGAGUGGAGCAGGAGCCUGAGGUCAUAUGAGUUUGCAGCUCCUGUGUGGGACCACCACUUCACAAGCCAGGGAAAGGCAAUCAGCACCCCAGUGUUCUUAGCACGUCAUGCCCCGGUACAGCCUCCAUUCCACAAGUGGUGGGGCUGGGCAGAAGAAAAGAGCUCUUACUACUCAUUUCCACUGAUCUGGAACAUAGCUGCAGUAACAGAUAUCUGGGGCAAGAAGAGAAACACUGAAGUCCUGCUCUUCCUGGUAAUAAAGGCCUCUCUGACUAGAAGCUGGUGGGGCAAGGAAGCCCUGUGGUCUUGGCUGCAGCAGUCUGGAGUGGAGUCUCUGCUUUAUGGGGGGAAGAGUGGAUCCAAGGUGGAGGCUUUCUCUUCCCAGCUUGCAAACCGGUAUCUCCAGCAAAGCUCUCCUUUCUACUAUUCAGCUAUCCUGGUGGUCUUUUGGAUGACAACUUGCAGAUAGAUAAG